AUACAAUUUUUAAAAUCAGAACUGGAGAAAAUACAGCAGAUGCGGGCAUGUUUCAAUACUGUUUGGAUGAGUCACCUGGGCAAGUAGACAGCGGAGAAAUUUUGGCCAUUUUAGUUGCAUGUGUCCAUUAACAGCCAGUUUAAUUUUUUCAGUGCUUCCUUGGCUCCCUACUGAGGAAAGUCUACAUCUGGGGAGUGAGAGUAGUCAUCCUCUGGUUUUAAGAGCUUAUGAGCCGAUAUAGAUUUAGACCCACUUCAGCACAGGUAAAGACUGAGAUGGAAAGCACAUGAAAGGAGCGCUGGAUAAGAGAGAAACAGGGACAAGGAGAGAUAAACAAACAGUGACUACACGGGUCUGUUUGCACAAGAGCCCUCUGAGUCUGUGUGUGCGUCACCAUGGAAACCGCCUGUUAGUACACCUGCCCUCAUAUAGAGGAAGAGUCAGGUGGUCAGGGAAGUUACAG